rnacentral:rRNA from 1 species
AGCGAACGCUGGGGGCAGGCCUAACACAUGCAAGUCGAACGGAUCCUUCGGGAUUAGUGGCGGACGGGUGAGUAACACGUGGGAACGUGCCCUUUGGUUCGGAAGAACUCAGGGAAACUUGAGCUAAUACCGGAUGUGCCCUUCGGGGGAAAGAUUUAUCGCCAUUGGAGCGGCCCGCGUCUGAUUAGCUAGUUGGUGAGGUAAAGGCUCACCAAGGCGACGAUCAGUAGCUGGUCUGAGAGGAUGAUCAGCCACAUUGGGACUGAGACACGGCCCAAACUCCUACGGGAGGCAGCAGUGGGGAAUCUUGCGCAAUGGGCGAAAGCCUGACGCAGCCAUGCCGCGUGAAUGAUGAAGGUCUUAGGAUUGUAAAAUUCUUUCACCGGGGACGAUAAUGACGGUACCCGGAGAAGAAGCCCCGGCUAACUUCGUGCCAGCCGCCGCGGUAACAC